rnacentral:sRNA from 1 species
AUGUUAUCAGCUCUGGCUGGAGGCAAACGUUUGGCAAUUUUGGACUGGAAUGACAAGAAGAUGUUCCAGCUUCUAAUUCCCCUGCUUUUGGCACUCAAGGGGCAUGCCCAGGACGAUCCAGAAAACGUUCAAUGUGGCUACAGGCCUGCUUUUCCAAACUCAUCAUGGUUACCAUUUCAUGAACGGCUUCAAGUCCAGAAUGAGUAGAAUCCUGUUUCCUUCUGGAGUCCUUCCUAAUUGACAUACUUAGG